GACAGAGGGUGCAAACGUUGCUCGGAAUUACUGGGCGUAAAGGGCUCGUAGGCGGCCAACUAAGUCGGAUGUGAAAUCCCCAAGCUUAACUUGGGAACUGCAUCCGAUACUGGAUGGCUUGAAUCCGGGAGAGGGAUGCAGAAUUCCAGGUGUAGCGGUGAAAUGCGCAGAUAUCGGGAGGAACACCAAUGGCGAAGGCAGCUCGCUGGGACGUUACUGACGCUGAGACGCGAAAGCGUGGGGAGCAAACAGG
rnacentral:rRNA from 1 species